rnacentral:rRNA from 1 species
UACGUAGGGGGCAAGCGUUGUCCGGAUUUAUUGGGCGUAAAGCGCUUGUAGGCGGCUUGUUAAGUUCCGUGUGAAAUCCCCAGGCUCAACCUGGGAAGUGCGCGGAAAACUGGCGAGCUUGAGUGCCGGAGAGGGUCGCGGAAUUCCCGGUGUAGAGGUGAAAUUCGUAGAUAUCGGGAGGAACACCAGUGGCGAAGGCGGCGACCUGGACGGACACUGACGCUGAGACGCGAAAGCGUGGGGAGCAAACAGG